GGCGUGCUGGCGGCGCUGGGAUACGUAUGGCUGGCUGGCGCUCAGCCGCCGGCGGUGCGUGCGCUGCUUGCGCUGACGCUCUGGACGCUGGUGCGUUU
rnacentral:tRNA from 1 species